rnacentral:tRNA from 1 species
GAGGGUAUAGCUCAAGUGGUAGAGCGUGUGCUCAGCAUGCACUAGGUCCUGGGUUCAAUCUCUAGUACCUCCU